AGCAUCAGCAGGGUCUACAUAUUGAACAAAACCAAAACCACGUGGUUCUCUGCAAAAUUGUUGCACAAAAGAAGCAAAAGGGAAAAAGUUAUAAAACAAAAGUUAAAGUAAAUCCACAGAAUCAGGUCAGGUACUUGGCCUGCCAUAAACCUUCUCUAAUAAAACUGUCCACCAUAUCCCUUGCAAUAUGGAAGGUCUGUG
rnacentral:misc_RNA from 1 species